rnacentral:rRNA from 1 species
GACGAACGCUGGCGGCGUGCUCAACACAUGCAAGUCGAACGGAAAGGCCCUGCUUUUGUGGGGUGCUCGAGUGGCGAACGGGUGAGUAACACGUGAGUAACCUGCCCUUGACUUUGGGAUAACUUCAGGAAACUGGGGCUAAUACCGGAUAGGAGCUCCUGCUGCAUGGUGGGGGUUGGAAAGUUUCGGCGGUUGGGGAUGGACUCGCGGCUUAUCAGCUUGUUGGUGGGGUAGUGGCUUACCAAGGCUUUGACGGGUAGCCGGCCUGAGAGGGUGACCGGCCACAUUGGGGCUGAGAUACGGCCCAGACUCCUACGGGAGGCAGCAGUGGGGAAUAUUGCACAAUGGGCUGAAGCCUGAUGCAGCAACGCCGCGUGCGGGAUGACGGCCUUCGGGUUGUAAACCGCUUUCGCCUGUGACGAAGCGUGAGUGACGGUAAUGGGUAAAGAAGCACCGGCUAACUACGUG